rnacentral:rRNA from 1 species
UACGUAGGGGGCAAGCGUUGUCCGGAUUUAUUGGGCGUAAAGAGCGUGUAGGCGGCCUGACAGGUCUGCUGUGAAAACUCGAGGCUCAACCUCGAGAUGUCGGCGGAAACCGUCUGGCUAGAGUCCGGAAGAGGAGAGUGGAAUUCCUGGUGUAGCGGUGAAAUGCGCAGAUAUCAGGAAGAACACCAAUGGCGAAGGCAGCUCUCUGGGACGGUACUGACGCUGAGACGCGAAAGCGUGGGGAGCGAACAGG